AUAAUGAGCCUUUAAAAAGUUUUUAUUUUUAUUUUUAACGCGCACAAUUAAAUAAAUACGGUUGCAUGUCCUUUUGGGAAACCAGCAGAAGUGUGUUGGAGUAGUGGGGGUGGGGGUGUGCAGUAAAGGAAGACGGCAAUGCCAGAGAGAGAGAGAGAGAUUGUAGUAAUAAUAAUAAAUCACUUCUGAAAUUCCUACAUGACACAUGCCUUCUGUGGUACAAAUGACUUGCCCCAUCUUUCAAUGAUUAUUUUUAUACUGUGUUUGACACACACUUCUGGAAACGUCUUCUUGUUUUACUUCGUCAGCAGAGCUCCCAGGCGCAAGUGCCUUACAUAUCUAUAAAUACUACAGAGCUAAAUGGCAUUUUCUCACCCACCCCAUCCCCAUCCCCCCAUGGGAGUCAUGAGUUCUGACUUGGCAAGAUGCUAAACUUUUUUUCUUCUGCUUUUUCUAACCGAGCAACAGCUGUCUAAAAAAUAGAUCCACCUGGCUCUGUCUUGCACAAAAUAAAUUCUGAAAUAAAGCCGUACAAUUAGUUAUCCUUAAUUAACUUGCAAAAAAAAAAGGGAAAGGAAACUAUCUGAUGGUCUUUCCACUCCUGGCAGAUUGACAUUUCCACCCGUGGUUUAAUAAUUGUUCGUGUGGAUCUUCCUGACGAGUGUCUUUUCCCCAUGACAUUUGGAGACGAUAAUCCCUGCUGUGCAAGAAAGAGUCUGAACAGACCAGGAUGUGAUACAACAUCCGUUCCUUCCACGAAUGACGGCAAUACACAGAGAAAACAAGCCCCAAGUGCUUAGUGUUCGGGGUCUGUGAUGCACUGCAAAGGGCAGAGAGCAAAUGGUUUCCGCAGCGAGGAAAACCUGUUCCCAACAUCUCCGCUCAUUUCCGCGGUGUGCUUGGACGAAACUUCAAGCUUUUUACCGCGUUAACUGGCGUCUCUGCAAGGGACGUCGUUCUCAACGGUCUUCAGAGCAGCCCAGGCAGCAAGAUUCACGCACGAGGAAGGGAUUCUGUGAGAUGACAAAUCUUUUGAAUUGUUUUUAAUGUUUUUGUGGAAUGUUUGAAAGUCUAUGUUGGUUACAUAUUUGGUCAUUUUUAUGGAUAAAGCAAGUUUGGUUUGAUAUUGAAAUC